CCGUGGGCGGGGUUCCGUCGGCGGUUGGUGUAUCGGGGGAGGCGGCAGCAGCUGCGGUGAGGGUGGUGUGUGAGGUGUUGUACCUGGAAGUGGAGGUGGUGAGUGCAGCAGCGGUUCCGGAAGUGGUGUCGCCGGCGGAGGCGGAUGUGACGUCAUCGGUGGGGUCUCCGGCCGUGUCUUCAUGGUCAAUGGCGGCGGGGCAGACAACAUCAGGUGAAGAUGUGCGUGAUUUUAGCAAGGUGCUGAAAAAUAAGUUCAGAUCAAAGAAAUACUUUGCCAAACAUCCUCGCUUGGGUUAUUUACCAGUACAAACAGUUCUAGAAGGCGAGAACCUUGAGACUGGAUCUGUUGGAGUUGCACACAGCGCAACGCGUCUUUGAUCAACACAAAUUGACACAAACCGAGCAACUUCUGAAUGUGACUGAAGUAAUCAACUGUUUAACGUCCAUUUAUGAUGUUUUGGAACAAAACCACAAGGACUUGGUCAAUGUGCCACUCUGUGUCGACAUGUGUCUGAACUGGCUGCUGAACGUAUUUGAUACGGGUAUGAGUGGAAGAAUCAGAGUGCUUUCUUUGAAAAUUGGCUUGACGUGACUCUUCAAGGAUCAUCUAGAGGAAAAAUACAAGUGGCCAGAACAAACCAGAGAUUGAUGUUGAACGCUUUGUCGAGUGGAUGAGAUUGGAGCCUCAGUCCAUGGUGUGGCUGCCUGUUCGACACCGUGUGGCAGCUGCUGAAACUGCAAAACAUCAGGCUAAGUGUAACAUCUGCAAAGAGUACCCAAUCGUAGGUUUCAGGUACCGCAGUCUCAAGCACUUCAAUUCUGACAUCUGCCAAAGCUGUUUCUUUUCGGGGCGCACAUCAAAGGGACACAAGUUACAUUGCCCCAUGGUGGAGUACUGCACUCCGAACCUACCCCGGAAGAGAGAGCCCAGAGAAUUGCCAAAGCUGUCCGCAAACAGUCAAUAGAAGUGAAAGAAACUUGGGAGCAAUUGAAAACCCAUGCGAGCAACUGGCAGAAACAGGUGGAAAAGGUGUUGGAGAAACUUCAAGAACUGCAGAAAGCUCUGGAUGAUCUUGAGGCUCAUGUGAUAACAGCUGAAGGGGUCCGCACUGAUUGACAACCUGUGGGUGAACUGCUUAUUGACUCAUUGCAGGAUCACAUUGAUAAAACCACAGAGUUACGUUCAUUGAUAAAGCAGCUGAAGCUGGUCAGACUGAGGAACUUUGCAGCGAUGACCUGGUACUGAGCUGAUGGAUCUCCGGCAACCACAACCAAUCCUGCCUUUUGCUGUCUAUAUCUCCAACUAGUCGGCCAUUUCCCACCUGAUUCCCAAUUGACUUCAGUUUUCGGAAGGCUUUUUGAUGUCAAGAGCAGGUAUUGUCCUGGUCACUUGUAAUGCUGCCAAUUCAAGAUUAACUACAUGGAUGGUCUCUAUCGGUUGCUUAAUCACCAAUGUCAGUUUGCAAUCCUGAAUCCAAUAUUGUCACUUCAUCUUUCAGUUCUGUUGAUAAGCAAAGUUUGAGAUCAACAGCUUUCAGUUUACUAUCUGGAAGUCAAUCAGUGCAGAUUUUGAUGGUAAACCAGCGUUCUGUAUGUAAAACUGCCUUGUUUAAUUAGAUUAGUUAGUUGAGAUUCAUUUUCGUGAAAUGAAUCCUAACUAAGCUUCAUCUCUUCCUCAUUCUGAACACAUGCUAUGUCAUGCAAUGGCUAUUCAAUUUUGCAUUGGUGCCGGUUCAAACCAUGUGUAUUCCAACUACGGAUUGAUACAGAUGAAAUAGUACCAUUUCCUUGUUAGUACCAUUCUCGCCGUACAGUGUUUUGGCAUUUCAUUACGUUUCUGUGUACAGUUCUGAACCAGCCCCCUUGCCCCUGAGCUUGCCAAAUGUCUCAAUGUUGUCAUGACAUUGUCAAAGAAUUCAUUUCUUGGUAGAUUCAGAGAUAAAUUAAUGUAACCUAGUAUGUGUUAAUGCCUCUGCUGUAAUCGGGCGAAAUACUCAGGCCAUUGUCUUAAUUUUUCUCUCUUGUAUUUAUGUUGACCAUGCCAUUUGCUCCACUUACUGGGAUUGGACUUGUUACAGAAGUGCUGAACGUCAACUUGCCAAAUACAAUUGGCUAAACAGUAUGAGGCCAAUCAGUCUCUUGAAACACUUUUGCUGUGCAAUCAACAUUCCAACAUUAUUUGACAAUGAAAAAUUACAUACGUGCUUCAGAAGAUUAGAUUUGAAACAGAGAUUUGUGAAUAUGAAUGGAGCUAUAUAUGUCUCCAUCUCGGGCACCAACCUCAAGUCCACCUGGACUAUCUCCAACACCUCCCUCACCUUCCUGGACCCCUCUAUCUCCAUCUCGGGCAACCACCUCGAAACUGAUAUCCAUUUCAAGCCCACCGACUCCCACAGCGACCUAGGAUACACCUCCUCCCACCCACCUUCCUGCAAAAAUUACAUCCCCUAUUCCCAAUUCCUUUGCCUUCGCCACAUCUGCUCCCAGGACGAGGCAUUCCAUUCCCGUACACCUCGGAUGUCCUCAUUUUUCAAGGACCGCAACUCCCCCCAACCCAUCCCACACCCCCGCAACCCCUCGCAGUGGUCAAGAACGCCCUCGACCGUGUCUCUCUCAUUUCCUGUGACUCAACUCUCACACCCCGUCCCCGCAAUAACCACCAAAAGAGAACCCCCUCAUCCUCACAUACCACCCUCCCAACCUCUGCCUACAAUGUAUCAUCCUCUGACAUUUCCACCAUCUGCAAUCUGACCUCACCACCAAAGACAUUUUUCC